UUGACAGAGAGAGAGAGCAAGAACAAGCAGGGGGAGCAGCAGAAGGAGAGAGAGAAGGCGGCUCUCUGCUGAAUAGGACGCCUGAUGAGGGGCUCGAUCCUAUGACCCUGGGAUCAUGACCUGAGCUGAGGGCAGACGCUUAACCAACUGAGCCACCCAGGCGCCCUUCUUUUUCUAAUAUCUUAAGGUUGAAGGGCUUCAUGCAGAUAAGGAAUUUCUUCUCUCAGAGGGACCACUGUUAAUUAGAAAUAUAAUAUAAGAAGCAUCUUUAUCACAAAAAAAGUGAGAAGCAAGAAGAAGAUGGAUGACAUAUAGAUGAAAGACAAGCAGCAUAGGAAGAGAACUUCUAGCCUUGACCAUGAGUUGUGUGACCU